rnacentral:rRNA from 1 species
UCAAUUAUUUAUAGCCUCUGGCUAUAGGAAAUUGUUAGUGGCAGACGGGUGAGUAAUGCGUAGGAAUCUACCUAGUAGUACGGAAUAGCCAUUAGAAAUGGUGGGUAAUACUGUAUAAUCCCCGAGGGGGAAAGAUUUAUCGCUAUUAGAUGAGCCUACGUUAGAUUAGCUAGUUGGUGAGGUAAUGGCUUACCAAGGCUAUGAUCUAUAGCUGGUCUGAGAGGACGAUCAGCCACACUGGAACUGAGAUACGGUCCAGACUCCUACGGGAGGCAGCAGUGGGGAAUAUUGGACAAUGGGCGAAAGCCUGAUCCAGCUAUGCCGCGUGAGUGAAGAAGGCCUUCGGGUUGUAAAACUCUUUCAAUAGGGAAGAUAAUGACGAGUAC